rnacentral:rRNA from 1 species
UGUCGUCAGCUCGUGUCGUGAGAUGUUGGGUUAAGUCCCGCAACGAGCGCAACCCUUGUCAUUAGUUGCUACGAAAGAGCACUCUAAUGAGACUGCCGGUGACAAACCGGAGGAAGGUGGGGAUGACGUCAAGUCCUCAUGGCCCUUAUGGGUAGGGCUUCACACGUCAUACAAUGGUACAUACAGAGGGCCGCCAACCCGCGAGGGGGAGCUAAUCCCAGAAAGUGUAUCGUAGUCCGGAUUGUAGUCUGCAACUCGACUACAUGAAGUCGGAAUCGCUAGUAAUCGCGGAUCAGCAUGCCGCGGUGAAUACGUUCCCGG